GAUCCUGGCUUAGGAUGAACGCUAGCUACAGGCUUAACACAUGCAAGUCGAGGGGCAUCAGGAUCUGUGCUUGCACAGAUUGCUGGCGACCGGCGCACGGGUGAGUAACGCGUAUCCAACCUUCCCCUUAGUAGAGGAUAGCCCGGCGAAAGUCGGAUUAAUACUCUACGUUGUUCAAUGCGGACAUCUAAGUUGAACCAAAGGUUUACCGCUAAGGGAUGGGGAUGCGUCUGAUUAGGUAGUAGGCGGGGUAACGGCCCACCUAGCCAACGAUCAGUAGGGGUUCUGAGAGGAAGGUCCCCCACAUUGGAACUGAGACACGGUCCAAACUCCUACGGGAGGCAGCAGUGAGGAAUAUUGGUCAAUGGACGAGAGUCUGAACCAGCCAAGUAGCGUGCAGGAUGACCGGCCCUAUGGGUUAGUAAACUGUCUUUUAUGCGGGGAUAAAGUGCACCACGUGUGGUGUUUUGUAGGUACCGCAUGAAUAAGGACCGGCUAAUUCCGUGCCAGCAGCCGC
rnacentral:rRNA from 1 species